rnacentral:rRNA from 1 species
UACGUAGGUGACCAGCGUUGUCCGGAUUUACUGGGCGUAAAGAGCGCGCAGGCGGUCGUUCAAGUCGAGUGUGAAAGCCCCCGGCUCAACUGGGGAGGGUCAUUCGAUACUGAUCGACUCGAAGGCAGGAGAGGGAAGCGGAAUUCCCGGUGUAGUGGUGAAAUGCGUAGAUAUCGGGAGGAACACCGGUGGCGAAGGCGGCGACCUGGGUAGAUACUGACGCUGAGGCGCGAAAGCGUGGGGAGCAAACAGG